CACGUAGGGGGCGAGCGUUGUCCGGAUUUAUUGGGCGUAAAGGGCGCGUAGGCGGCACGGCAAGUCAGGAGUGAAAGCCCGGGGCUCAACCCCGGAAUGUCUUUUGAAACUGCCGAGCUAGAGUGCGGAAGAGGCAACUGGAAUUCCCAGUGUAGCGGUGAAAUGCGUAGAUAUUGGGAAGAACACCUGAGGCGAAGGCGGGUUGCUGGGCCGACACUGACGCUGAUGCGCGAAAGCGUGGGGAGCAAACAGG
rnacentral:rRNA from 1 species